rnacentral:lncRNA from 1 species
CUAAUUUACAUUUUUCAGAUUUUCCCAAGAUUUACUAUUUUUCCCAAGAUAUGCUAUUUUCUUAUUAACUAAUGCCAAACUACAUAACCAGACUCUAAGUCUCCUAACCAAUCAUUAACCUUUAAGUUUAAAGUACACUUGUACUUUAUUUCUAAUCUAAAAUUCCCAUCUAAAAAAGUCCCCUUAAAUCUUAUACUUAAAACAUCCUAAAGUUUAUAAAUCAUUCUUAAAACAUAUCAGAAACCCAUACAACUAAAAACUUAAGAAUUUCUAAACUUAAGAAUCUAAAUAAAAUAGUAU